rnacentral:snRNA from 1 species
GUGCUCGCUUUGGCAGCACAUGUACUAAAAUUGGAACGAUACAGAGAAGAUUAGCAUGGCCCCUGCACAAGGAUGACAUGCAAACUCGUGAAGCGUUCCACAUUUUU